rnacentral:rRNA from 1 species
UACGGAGGAUGCGAGCGUUAUCCGGAUUUAUUGGGUUUAAAGGGUGCGCAGGCGGCACGGCAAGCCGGCGGUCAAAUCGCGGGGCUCAACCCCGCCCAGCCGUCGGAACUGCCGGGCUAGAGUGGGCGAGAAGUGCGCGGAAUGCGUGGUGUAGCGGUGAAAUGCGUAGAGAUUAGGAAGAACACCAGUGGCGAAGGCGAUUCUCUGGACUGUAACUGACGCUGAGGCUCGAAAGCGUGGGGAGCAAACAGG